AUUGAACGCUGGCGGCAUGCCUUACACAUGCAAGUCGAACGGCAGCACGGGUGCUUGCACCUGGUGGCGAGUGGCGAACGGGUGAGUAAUACAUCGGAACGUACCUUAUCGUGGGGGAUAACGCAGCGAGAGCUGUGCUAAUACCGCAUACGCCCUGAAGGGGAAAGCGGGGGAUCGCAAGACCUCGCGCGAUUAGAGCGGCCGAUGCCUGAUUAGCUUGCUGGUGGGGUAAAAGCCCACCAAGGGGACGAUCAGUAGCUGGUCUGAGAGGACGAUCAGCCACACUGGGACUGAGACACGGCCCAGACUCCGCCGGGAGGCAGCAGUGGGGAAUUUUGGACAAUGGGGGCAACCCUGAUCCAGCAAUGCCGCGUGAGUGAAGAAGGCCUUCGGGUUGUAAAGCUCUUUUGUCAGGGAAGAAACACCGGCUCUAACACAGUCCGGGAAUGACGGUACCUGAAGAAUAAGCACCGGCUAACUACGUGCCAGCAGCCGCCGUAA
rnacentral:rRNA from 1 species